rnacentral:rRNA from 1 species
UACGUAGGUGGCAAGCGUUACCCGGAAUUAUUGGGGCGUAAAGAGCGCGCAGGUGGUUGAUUAAGUCUGAUGUGAAAGUCCACGGCUUAACCGUGGAGGGUCAUUGGAAACUGGUCGACUUGAGUGCAGAAGAGGGAAGUGGAAUUCCAAUGUGUAGCGGUGAAAUGCGUAGAGAUAUGGAGGAACACCAGUGGCGAAGGCGGCUUCCUGGUCUGUAACUGACACUGAGGCGCGAAAGCGUGGGGAGCAAACAGGAUUAGAUACCCGCGUA